rnacentral:rRNA from 1 species
UACGUAGGGUGCAAGCGUUGUCCGGAAUUAUUGGGCGUAAAGAGCUCGUAGGCGGUUCGUCGCGUCGGCUGUGAAAACCCGGAGCUCAACUCCGGGCCUGCAGUCGAUACGGGCGGACUCGAGUUCGGCAGGGGAGACUGGAAUUCCUGGUGUAGCGGUGAAAUGCGCAGAUAUCAGGAGGAACACCGGUGGCGAAGGCGGCUUGCUGGGCCAGUUCUGACGCUGAGGAGCGAAAGCGUGGGGAGCGAACAGG